GAAUUUACCUGUGACUGUGGAGGGACGACCUCGGAAGUGAAGCCGUCUUUUGAUACACUGCCAAGAGUUCUCAUCUUUCACCUGAAGAGGUUUGGCUUUACAAAAACCCACAAGCUUCAGAAGGUGAAUGACCCCGUCAGGCUGCAGAGGGACUUGGUGGUGUCAUCCAAACAGGGUGAUGGCCGUUAUGGACUCAUAAGCAUCAUUAGUCACUAUGGAGGCACAGAAUCAGG